rnacentral:rRNA from 1 species
UCGAGAAUUUUUCUCAAUGGGGGAAACCCUGAAGGAGCGACGCCGCGUGGAGGAUGAAGGUCUUCGGAUUGUAAACUCCUGUCAUUUGGGAACAAUUGUCACCGGUUAACUGCCGGGGGCUUGAUAGUACCAGAAGAGGAAGAGACGGCUAACUCUGUGCCAGCAGCCGCGGUAAUACAGAGGUCUCAAGCGUUGUUCGGAUUCAUUGGGCGUAAAGGGUGCGUAGGUGGCGGGGUAAGUCAGGUGUGAAAUCUCGGAGCUCAACUCCGAAACUGCACUUGAUACUGCCUUGCUCGAGUACUGGAGAGGAGAUUGGAAUUUACGGUGUAGCAGUGAAAUGCGUAGAUAUCGUAAGGAAGACCAGUGGCGAAGGCGAAUCUCUGGACAGUUACUGACACUGAGGCACGAAGGCCAGGGGAGCAAACAGGAUUAGAUACCCUGGUAGUCCUGGCAGUAAACGGUGCGCGUUUGGUGUGGGAGGA